rnacentral:rRNA from 1 species
GAUGAACGCUGGCGGCGUGCCUAAUACAUGCAAGUCGAGCGAACAGACGAGGAGCUUGCUCCUCUGACGUUAGCGGCGGAUGGGUGAGUAACACGUGGAUAACCUACCUAUAAGACUGGGAUAACUUCGGGACACCGGCGCUAAUACCGGAUAAUAUAUUGAACCGCAUGGUUCAAUAGUGUAAGACGGUUUUGCUGUCACUUAUAGAUGGAUCCGCGCCGGAUUAGCUAGUUGGUAAGGUAACAGCUUACUAAGGCGACGAUGCGUAGCCGCCCUGAGAGGGUGAUCGGCCACACUGGAACGGAGACACGGUCCAGACUCCGACGGGAGGCAGCAGUAGCGGAUCUUAGGCAAUGGGCGAAAGCCUGACAGAGCAACGCCGCGUGAGUGACGAAGGUCUAGGGAUCGUAAAACUCUGUUAUUAGGGGAGAACAAAUGUGUAAGUAACUAUGCAGUUCUUGACGGUACCUAAUCAGAAAGCCACGGCUAACUACGUG